GACGAACGCUGGCGGCGUGCCUAAUACAUGCAAGUAGAACGCACAGUUUAUACCGUAGCUUGCUACACCAUAGACUGUGAGUUGCGAACGGGUGAGUAACGCGUAGGUAACCUGCCUGGUAGCGGGGGAUAACUAUUGGAAACGAUAGCUAAUACCGCAUAAUAUUAAUUAUUGCAUGAUAAUUAAUUGAAAGGUGCAAUUGCACCACUACCAGAUGGACCUGCGUUGUAUUAGCUAGUAGGUGAGGUAACGGCUCACCUAGGCGACGAUACAUAGCCGACCUGAGAGGGUGAUCGGCCACACUGGGACUGAGACACGGCCCAGACUCCUACGGGAGGCAGCAGUAGGGAAUCUUCGGCAAUGGACGAAAGUCUGACCGAGCAACGCCGCGUGAGUGAAGAAGGUUUUCGGAUCGUAAAGCUCUGUUGUAAGAGAAGAACGGGUGUGAGAGUGGAAAGUUCACACUGAGAC
rnacentral:rRNA from 1 species